rnacentral:lncRNA from 1 species
AUUAGUUUGUGAUUAGGUCUAGUUUAUGGUGAACCACUAGUGGUAAGUCAAAGAUAUUUGGUAUGCAGUUAUAUAAGUAUUGGCACAUCUUAUUACCAUGGGGAUUAUUUGACCCCGUCCCCUCAGUUAUUGUCUAUUGACUUUGAAACUUUUGCGUAGUUUUCAUGUAUUAGUUUGUGAUUAGGUCAGUUUACGGGGAACCAGUAGUGGUAGGUUAAUGAUAUUUGGUAUGCAGUUGUAUCAACAGUGGCACAUCUCAUUACCAUGGAUUUUUUUUUACCCUCCC